GUGCUUGCUUCAGCAGCAUAUGUACUAAAAUUGGAAUAAUACCGAGAAGAUUAGCAUGGCCUCUGUUCAAGGAUGACGUGCAAAUUCGUGAAGUGUUCCAUAUUUGG